GAUGAACGCUGGCGGCGUGCCUAAUACAUGCAAGUCGAGCGAACGGACGAGAAGCUUGCUUCUCUGAUGUUAGCGGCGGACGGGUGAGUAACACGUGGAUAACCUACCUAUAAGACUGGGAUAACUUCGGGAAACCGGAGCUAAUACCGGAUGAUAUUUUGAACCGCAUGGUUCAAAAGUGAAAGACGGUCUUGCUGUCACUUAUAGAUGGAUCCGCGCUGCAUUAGCUAGUUGGUAAGGUAAUGGCUUACCAAGGCAACGAUGCAUAGCCGACCUGAGAGGGUGGUCGGCCACACUGGAACUGAGACACGGUCCAGACUCCUACGGGAGGCAGCAGUAGGGAAUCUUCCGCAAAGGGCGAAAGCCUGACGGAGCAACGCCGCGUGAGUGAUGAAGGUCUUCGGAUCGUAAAACUCUGUUAUUAGGGAAGAACAUAUGUGUAAGUAACUGUGCACAUCUUGACGGUACCUAAUCAGAAAGCCACGGCUAACUACGUG
rnacentral:rRNA from 1 species